CCUACGGGAGGCUGCAGUGGGGAAUAUUGGGCAAUGGGCGCAAGCCUGACCCAGCAAUGCCGCGUGGGUGAAGAAGGUCUUCGGAUUGUAAAGCCCUUUCGGCGGGGACGAUGAUGACGGUACCCGCAGAAGAAGCCCCGGCUAACUUCGUGCCAGCAGCCGCGGUAAUACGAAGGGGGCUAGCGUUGCUCGGAAUUACUGGGCGUAAAGGGCGCGUAGGCGGCUCUGUCAGUCGGGCGUGAAAUCCCUGGGCUCAACCUGGGGGCUGCGCCCGA
rnacentral:rRNA from 1 species